GACGAACGCUGGCGGCGUGCCUAAUACAUGCAAGUAGAACGCUGAAGGAGGAGCUUGCUCUUCUGGAUGAGUUGCGAACGGGUGAGUAACGCGUAGGUAACCUGCCUGGUAGCGGGGGAUAACUAUUGGAAACGAUAGCUAAUACCGCAUAAGAGUAGAUGUUGCAUGACAUUUACUUAAAAGGUGCAAUUGCAUCACUACCAGAUGGACCUGCGUUGUAUUAGCUAGUUGGUGGGGUAACGGCUUACCAAGGCGACGAUACAUAGCCGACCUGAGAGGGUGAUCGGCCACACUGGGACUGGGACACGGCCCAGACUCCUACGGGAGGCAGCAGUAGGGAAUCUUCGGCAAUGGACGGAAGUCUGACCGAGCAACGCCGCGGGAGUGAAGAAGGUUUUCGGAUCGUAAAGCUCUGUUGUUAGAGAAGAACGAGUGUGAGAGUGGAAAGUUCACACUGUGACGGUAUCUUACCAGAAAGGGACGGCUAACUACGUG
rnacentral:rRNA from 1 species